UACGUAGGGUGCAAGCGUUUAAUCGGAAUUACUGGGCGUAAAGCGUGCGCAGGCGGUUGUGCAAGACAGAUGUGAAAUCCCCGGGCUCAACCUGGGAAUUGCAUUUGUGACUGCACGGCUAGAGUGUGUCAGAGGGGGGUAGAAUUCCACGUGUAGCAGUGAAAUGCGUAGAGAUGUGGAGGAAUACCGAUGGCGAAGGCAGCCCCCUGGGUCAAGAUUGACGCUCAUGCACGAAAGCGUGGGGAGCAAACAGG
rnacentral:rRNA from 1 species